CCGAAUCGACUGGACGUACACACUGACAGAAAUAUUUGCCACUGGUCUUUACUCAAACAAUAAUUCACUCAUAAAUGCAUUACCGAAAAAGGGUGAGGUUAAUUGUUUGUUUGUGUAGAAUCUCAGAUCCGUUAAAAUACAAUUAGAAGUAAAAAAAAGUAUCACCCUCUCCUUUUGCCAAAAAAAAAACCAACUUGUAGAAACAAUACCAUUUGAAACAAACAGAAAAGAUAAAAAUGUAGUGAUCCUUAACAUCGCAAUUCUUUUUCUUUAUCUAUAAGCACGCAGAUGCAGCCUACAUUUUUAAUGCGUAGUCGAGACAUCUUUAAACUACUGCAAAUCAUCC
rnacentral:lncRNA from 1 species